GUGAGGUGAUGAUGAAGUUUAUCCAUUCUCUGAGUGCAGUGCUGCCACCCUCCUGCAGCACCCCGAUUCCUGUUCUAGGGUCUGGGUGCUGUGCAGACUCCAGAGACCCCCCCGCCUCCCAGUGUUCUACUGGGGGCUGCUGUGGUGUGUGGCUGGCUGCCUGCAGGAGUGACGUGGUGCCGGCAGGGUUGGAGCUGCUCUCUGGGGGGCUCCAUCCCCACUGAGACGAGGGAUGAUGUCUGAUCAC
rnacentral:snoRNA from 1 species